rnacentral:rRNA from 1 species
ACUCCUACGGGAGGCAGCAGUGGGAAUCUUAGACAAUGGGGAAAGCCCUCGAUCUAGCCAUGCCGCGUGAGUGAUGAAGGCCCUAGGGUCGUAAAGCUCUUUCGCCAGGGAUGAUAAUUACAGUACCUGGUAAAGAAACCCCGGCUAACUCCCGUGCCAGCAGCCGCGGUAAUACGGAGGGGUUAGCGUUGUUCGGAAUUACUGGGCGUAAAGCGCGCGU